CAGGGAUUUAGCAGCAAUGAAAAACUGCUGUUCUUUCAGUGAUAUUCAGGUUCCAAACAGUGCUGGAGAACCAAGGCAGGACAGUGUAUCCUCAUGGAGGUCUUCCAAAUGGCUCCGGCAUGUAGGCAUGCCAGCCACCCACGUGCACUGUGGACAGCCCAAUUUCCACUGCUGAUGCCCUGCUGUGUUGUUAGACUCUGAGCAGAUGUCAGGAGGAAAGGCCAGCACAGGACAAUGAGCUCUGAAUACUGAUUAGAGUAUUAGGAUGAUAACCCAGAUUCCAAAAAUAUCAUGCCAUUGUCUUUGUAAGAGGAAAACACUGACUUCGGAAUUGAGAGCACUUAUUCCUGAGAUGUGCAAAUCAUGGAACCAUUACAGUGGCCCCAGAGGACAUGGGAGUUUUGGGAGCUGAGGUGGAGCCUGUGCCUUCGCGUGAGCUCUGCUCAGCCAGUGUGGUGCAUGAUGCUGCCUGGUCACUACCUGCACCUUGCAGACGUCACCGUCACCACUGCCACUGUGCUCAGCCCUAGCACAGGGACUGCCUGUGCUACUGCAGCUGGCACAGUUUGGACUUGGGAGAGUUUUCUUUCCAGUGAUGACAAGCACCCCAUGUGCAAGAGCCCCCCGCAUGAAUCCUAAAGCUGGCUGAAAACCAAGAGAUCUUGUCCACUGAAACCUAAAAGGGAAGAGGAGGGGAACACAAAGAACAAGAAGACUAUUAUUUCUUUUUGUUUUAUGAUGCAGCUAUCUGGAAAUUAAGAUAUAUACACAAGACAGGGAGUGGAAAAUCACUGGGUAUGUCAUUGCUUCAUAAUCUUCUUAUUUGCUCCACAUAUUGGUUUAUGAUCCUCUUAAGGCAUGCUCAAAAACAGAUUCCAUGUCAACAAUUGAUAUGAAGCUUGAAAUGGACCAGAAAACAGGACGUAACAAAGUGACCCUCGUUGAAAGGCAGCAAGACAGUUCAAUUAGCCUUAACAUAAGUCUUUCUACUGCAAGGACAUCAGCAAUCCUAACUUCUUUUCAAACAGGAUCUUAGGAUAAUAUUUGCACAAUGCUUC
ensembl:lncRNA